rnacentral:rRNA from 1 species
GACGAACGCUGGCGGCGUGCUUAACACAUGCAAGUCGAACGGAAAGGCCCUGCUUUUGUGGGGUGCUCGAGUGGCGAACGGGUGAGUAACACGUGAGUAACCUGCCCUUGACUUUGGGAUAACUUCAGGAAACUGGGGCUAAUACCGGAUAGGAGCUCCUGCUGCAUGGUGGGGGUUGGAAAGUUUCGGCGGUUGGGGAUGGACUCGCGGCUUAUCAGCUUGUUGGUGGGGUAGUGGCUUACCAAGGCUGUGACGGGUAGCCGGCAUGAGAGGGUGACCGGCCACAUUGGGACUGAGAUACGGACCAGAAUCCUACGGGAGGCAGCAGUGGGGAAUCUUGCACAAUGGGCGGAAGCCUGAUGCAGCAACGCCGCGUGCGGGAUGACGGCCUUCGGGUUGUAAACCGCUUUCGCCUGUGACGAAGCGUGAGUGACGGUAAUGGGUAAAGAAGCACCGGCUAACUACGUG